ACUUUAUCCCAAUGUAAAGGCUUCAAUUUUGGUUUCAGGGUUUCCUCAUUCCUCUCAACGCUUGCACUGCUCUGAGAUUGCUCAUUAGCUAAAAUUGGCUUUGCACUUUGAAUAAAAAGGGGCCUCGAAGAAGUAACAAGAGCCGAAGGCCCAGAACUCCCCAUAUUCACAUCCCGAGCAGGCGUUACCCCCACCGGGAUCUCCCAAAACCGCGGGGGAGGAGGGGGUGGAGGAGGUGGCGGCAGUUUUGUUGUUAGAAACUGCUUAGUAACACUCUCGAUUCUAGUGGGGGAGAGAUUAUUCUGCCCAAGAAAACCUGAAUUUCGCUCCGGAGAGUUCUGGGUAUUCCCUGAAUCUCUCCCUGAAAAGGACGGUGAAGAAGAUAAAGAAAUGGACAAUGGUGAUCGCUUUACGGACUGAAUUGGAGCAG
rnacentral:misc_RNA from 1 species